rnacentral:Y_RNA from 1 species
AUUUGGUCCAAAGUUGUGGGUUCUUGCUAAAUUGUUUAGCAUUUUCUCCAGCCCACAACCACACGUGCUAGCUUUGC